GUGCCUGCUUCAGUCGCACAUACACUGAAAUGACAAUAACAUAGAGGCCAUCAGCCUGGCCCCUGCACAAGGGUGGCAUGCAAAUCUGCAAAGGAUUCCAUAGUUUA